rnacentral:rRNA from 1 species
CGUAUGGAGCGAGCGUUGUCCGGAAUUAUUGGGCGUAAAGGGUGCGCAGGCGGCUUUACAAGUUGGAUGUGAAAUAUUGUGGCUCAACCACAAACGUGCAUCCAAACUGCAAAGCUUGAGUUAAGGAGAGGUAAGUGGAAUUCCUGGUGUAGCGGUGGAAUGCGUAGAUAUCAGGAGGAAUACCGGUGGCGAAGGCGACUUACUGGACUUAAACUGACGCUCAGGCACGAAAGCGUGGGGAGCAAACAGGAUU